rnacentral:piRNA from 1 species
CACUUGUAAAAUAAGACAUUUGUAGGCUGGU